UCCAGAGGGUGCAAGCGUUAAUCGGCAUUCCUGGGCGUCAAGCGUGCGUAGACGGUUAUGUCAGUCAGAUGUGAAAGCCCCGGGCUCAACCUGGGAAUUGCAUUUGAGACUGUGUAGCUAGGGUGCGGAAGAGGGAAGCGGAAUUUCCGGUGUAGCGGUGAAAUGCGUAGAUAUCGGAAGGAACGCCAGUGGCGAAAGCGGCUUCCUGGUCCAGCACCGACGUUCAGGCACGAAAGCGUGGGGAGCAAAAAGG
rnacentral:rRNA from 1 species